AGAACGAACGCUGGCGGCGCACCUAACACAUGCAAGUCGAACGAGAAAUUCCGAUUCGUCGGGAGAGUAAAGUGGCGAACGGGUGAGUAAUGCGAGGGUAAUUUACCCUUAAAUUAGGGAUAACUUUGCGAAAGCGAAGCUAAUACCUGAUAAGACUACAAUCUCUUAGGGGAUAGUAGGAAAAGAUGGCCUCUGUUUCAAGCUAUCGUUUAAGGAUGAGCCCUUGUACUAUUAGCUAGUUGGUGAGGUAAUGGCUCACCAAGGCGAAGAUGGUUAGCUGGUCUGAGAGGAUGAUCAGCCACACUGGAACUGAGACACGGUCCAGACUCCUACGGGAGGCAGCAGUGGGGAAUAUUGCGCAAUGGGGGAAUCCCUGACGCAGUGACGACGCGUGAGUGAUGAAGGCUUUCGAGUCGUAAAGCUCUGUGAGGUGGGAAGAAAUGUUUAAGUGCUAAUACCAUUUAAAUUUGACGGUACCACCAGAGGAAGCACCGGCUAACUCCGUGCCAGCAGCCGCGGUAAUACGGAGGGUGCAAGCGUUGUUCGGAAUUACUGGGCGUAAAGGGCGUGUAGGCGGUUAGGAAAGUCAGAUGUGAAAUCCCUUAGCUCAACUAAGGAAAGUGCAUUUGAAACUGCUUAACUAGAGUACAAGAGGGGAAAGUGGAAUUCCCAGUGUAGAGGUGAAAUUCAUAGAUAUUGGGAGGAACACCGGUGGCGAAGGCGACUUUCUGGCUUGAUACUGACGCUGAGACGCGAAAGCGUGGGGAGCAUACAGGAUUAGAUACCCUGGUAGUCCACGCCGUAACGAUGGGCACUAGGUGUA
rnacentral:rRNA from 1 species